AUUGAACGCUGGCGGCAGGCUUAACACAUGCAAGUCGAGCGGGGUGAUGGUGCUUGCACCUUAUCUUAGCGGCGGACGGGUGAGUAAUGCUUAGGAAUCUGCCUAUUAGUGGGGGACAACAUUCCGAAAGGAAUGCUAAUACCGCAUACGUCCUACGGGAGAAAGCAGGGGAUCUUCGGACCUUGCGCUAAUAGAUGAGCCUAAGUCGGAUUAGCUAGUUGGUGGGGUAAAGGCCUACCAAGGCGACGAUCUGUAGCGGGUCUGAGAGGAGGAUCCGCCACACUGGGACUGAGACACGGCCCAGACUCCUACGGGAGGCAGCAGUGGGGAAUAUUGGACAAUGGGGGAAACCCUGAUCCAGCCAUGCCGCGUGUGUGAAGAAGGCCUUAUGGUUGUAAAGCACUUUAAGCGAGGAGGAGGCUACUGAGACUAAUACUCUUGGAUAGUGGACGUUACUCGCAGAAUAAGCACCGGCUAACUCUGUGCCAGCCGCCGCAGUAA
rnacentral:rRNA from 1 species